AGUCGAGCGGUAGAGANAAGCUUGCUUCUCUUGAGAGCGGCGGACGGGUGAGUAAUGCCUAGGAAUCUGCCUGGUAGUGGGGGAUAACGUCCGGAAACGGACGCUAAUACCGCAUACGUCCUACGGGAGAAAGCAGGGGACCUUCGGGCCUUGCGCUAUCAGAUGAGCCUAGGUCGGAUUAGCUAGUUGGUGGGGUAAUGGCUCACCAAGGCGACGAUCCGUAACUGGUCUGAGAGGAUGAUCAGUCACACUGGAACUGAGACACGGUCCAGACUCCUACGGGAGGCAGCAGUGGGGAAUAUUGGACAAUGGGCGAAAGCCUGAUCCAGCCAUGCCGCGUGUGUGAAGAAGGUCUUCGGAUUGUAAAGCACUUUAAGUUGGGAGGAAGGGCAGUAAAUUAAUACUUUGCUGUUUUGACGUUACCGACAGAAUAAGCACCGGCUAACUCUGUGCCNGCAGCCGCGGUAAUACAGAGGGUGCAAGCGUUAAUCGGAAUUACNGNNCGUAAAGCG
rnacentral:rRNA from 1 species